rnacentral:misc_RNA from 1 species
GAUGAAGAACGCAGCAAAAUGCGAUAAGCAAUGUGAAUUGCAGAAUUCAGUGAAUCAUCGAAUCUUUGAACGCACAUUGCGCCCGCUGGUAUUCCGGCGGGCAUGCCUGUUCGAGCGUCAUUUCAACCCUCAAGCCCCCGGGUUUGGUGUUGGGGAUCGGCUCUGCCCUUCUGGGCGGUGCCGCCCCCGAAAUACAUUGGCGGUCUCGCUGCAGCCUCCAUUGCGUAGUAGCUAACACCUCGCAACUGGAACGCGGCGCGGCCAUGCCGUAAAACCCCAACUUCUGAAUGUUGACCUCGGAUCAGGUAGGAAUACCCGCUGAACUUAAGCAUAUCAAUAAGCGGAGGA